rnacentral:rRNA from 1 species
GACGAACGCUGGCGGCGUGCUUAACACAUGCAAGUCGAGCGGUAAGGCCUUUCGGGGUCCACGAGCGGCGAACGGGUGAGUAACACGUGGGUGAUCUGCCCUGCACUUCGGGAUAAGCCUGGGAAACUGGGUCUAAUACCGGAUAUGACCUCCUAUCGCAUGGUGGGUGGUGGAAAGAUUUAUCGGUGCAGGAUGGGCCCGCGGCCUAUCAGCUUGUUGGUGGGGUAAUGGCCUACCAAGGCGACGACGGGUAGCCGACCUGAGAGGGUGACCGGCCACACUGGGACUGAGACACGGCCCAGACUCCUACGGGAGGCAGCAGUGGGGAAUAUUGCACAAUGGGCGAAAGCCUGAUGCAGCGACGCCGCGUGAGGGAUGACGGCCUUCGGGUUGUAAACCUCUUUCAGCAGGGACGAAGCGCAGGUGACGGUACCUGCAGAAGAAGCACCGGCUAACUACGUG